rnacentral:rRNA from 1 species
UACGUAGGGGGCAAGCGUUGUCCGGAUUUACUGGGCGUAAAAGAGCGUGUAGGCGGCCACGCAGGUCCGUUGUGAAAACUGGAGGCUCAACCUUCAGACGUCGACGGAAACCGUGUGGCUAGAGUCCGGAAGAGGAGAGUGGAAUUCCUGGUGUAGCGGUGAAAUGCGCAGAUAUCAGGAAGAACACCAAUGGCGAAGGCAGCUCUCUGGGACGGUACUGACGCUGAGACGCGAAAGCGUGGGGGAGCGAACAGG